AACCUCCGCAAUGUGAGAAAUCGCGACGGGGGGAUCCCAAGUGCCAUUCUUAACGGGAUGGCUUUUCUUAAGUGUAAAAAGCUUUUGGAAUAAGAGCUGGGCAAGACCGGUGCCAGCCGCCGCGGUAACACCGGCAGCUCUAGUGGUAGCUGUUUUUAUUGGGCCUAAAGCGUUCGUAGCCGGUUUGAUAAGUCUUUGGUGAAAGCUUGUAGCUUAACUAUAAGAAUUGCUGGAGAUACUAUCAGACUUGAAGUCGGGAGAGGUUAGAGGUACUACCGGGGUAGGGGUGAAAUCCUAUAAUCCUGGGAGGACCACCUGUGGCGAAGGCGUCUAACUGGAACGAUCUUGACGGUGAGUAACGAAAGCCAGGGGCGCGAACCGGAUUAGAUACCCGGGUAGUCCUAGCCGUAAACGAUGCGGACUUGGUGUUGGGAUGGCUUUGAGCCGCUCCGGUGCCGAAGGGAAGCUGUUAAGUCCGCCGCCUGGGAGUACGGUCGCAAGACUGAACUUAAAGGAAUU
rnacentral:rRNA from 1 species